UCAAUGCGAGCUGAGCAGACAGGGCUGCAAGGAAAUCUGGCGCGGUUCAAUACCUCGUCUAGCCUGGGUUCCAGUAUCUAAUUUUUUUUACUGACAAACUCAUUUCUCUACUGGGACAGGAUGCUGUGCUGGCUGGAAGUUCCAUUUCGACAGCAAGAAUCCUAUCUGGAAACACAGAAGUUGUCCUCUAGCCACAGCAACUCGAACUUUUCUGAUUGUUGUUGCUGCUUUCUCCCAUCACCCCCACCCCCUUUUGACAAAGAUCCAACUGUAAAAAGUCUUACGUAACAGUUCAGGACUACUUCGGUUCUUUUACUGGUAUAUAUAUCAAGAGGCCUCAAGAAGACUAUGAAAACAUUUACAUCUCCAAAUUGGAGCAAUGUGGCUUUCAAUAUUUCAUAGCACCUCUACAGAAGGAAAGGAGGUAAGUGAAAUGAUCAAUAAUGACAUGAUGAGUUCUGACAAACUCAAAACCAGCCUAAACCGAGAAUUAAAUAGCUUCUAUAACUCUUGUCUAAUUUAACCCUUACCUUUCAGCCCUCAGACUUUAUCUUCGCAUUGAGUACAUAAACCCUUAGCCAAACUCACUUAAAAGAUAUAAUAUGUGCCUUUCAUCUUGCUUGAUGAUAAAAACUAAAAUUAAAAACUUAAAGCAAAUUAAAGAAACAAGGAUGCUGAAGGCUUUAGUGCAUGAAAAUCUAUUAUCUCAAACACAAUGGGAAAUACCCCUAAGUCAUUCUAGAAAUCUACCUUUCUUUCACUUUUCUCUAGUUUUUCAAGUCUAUGAAAAACAUUUUUCUUAGAAUAACACAGCAGAAGUAUUUCAUAAACAUCUAAUGGUUUGACGUAACAGAAAUCAGUAUUUUAAGUGUGAAUGUUUAUUUAUCCAACUAGUAUAAGGCAUCUCUUCAUAUAAUCAGGCCAAGGGGAAGACCAUUUAAAAUAAACCCAUUAGUUUUUAAAUACUACAGAGUAACAGUUGCUAUUUUGUUGUUGUUGUCAUUUGUAUACAAUUUACUGUUAUAUCACUGAGAACUCAAUAAAGCUGGCUAACUGGAGUGUUUUGACAAGGAGUGAAAUAAACUGAUGUAGAAUGUAAACAGUUUACAUUCAAAUAAAAUUCUCACUGGUUGACUUUCUUUCAUGUGUACCAUUUGGCUGCUUUAAAAAUGAAUUUGAGAACAGUCAACCUUUAAUAUUUAAACCUAAAGCAAAUGGUAAUAACUACCCCUGAUUAAAGAUUAACCUCAAUUCGGCCAGCAGUUCUGUAAGUCCUUUUGCUACUGUGUGCUCCUGGAUCCUUCCAUUAUAAACUCUACAUUCUGAAGAGUUUCAUUUAAUUCAUUUUCCAGAUUUUCAUUAAGGACAUUCAACAGCCAAUACAAAAUAACCAGUAUGUCUACAAUGCACUGAUACCCUUUCUGCCAAAGGAAAAGAUACCUGACAUUUUAGUUACUCUCUAUGAUCCUACUGAUGAGAAGGGUAGGCUUUCUAUUAGAAGAUGGGAUUUUUUGUUUAUUCUUUGCUUUUUCAAUAUGGAAAAUAACUUGUAGACCACCACUGAACCUCUGUGAUAACUUUGUGAUCCAAGAUCCAAUUAUGAAAGUUAAUUUUUUUCAUCUUCCUUUAUGAAACAUUUCACCUACAGACCCACCAACUAUUAUUACAAGCAAACAAGAAGAAGAUAUUUACUUGUUUGACUUAGCUUUCACUGUCAGUUUUAUCCCCAGAUAGUCGAUAAUAAGUUUUGUGGUGCACAAGGGAGGAGGCGGUAUGAUCAGUGACAUUUGCAAUCAUAAAGUCCAAUAUUUAAGUAUUAAAUUCUGGCUUGUAACCCUGGCUCCUCGCUAUGUACCUUUGGGCAAAUCACUUUACCUCUCUAAGACUCAGUUUUCUCAUGAGGUAAAAGUGAGUUAUUGAGAAUUUAAUGAGGUGAAAAUAUACAAAUCUCAGCACACAGUAGAUAAUUAUAUUAAGUUCUUUCUAACUCUUACUCUUUAACAAUUAUCAUAUAUUACUAUAAAAGGGAUAUCGGCAUUUUCAGAAUUACAAAAUACCAUUCGGAGCCAUUUUCUCAAAUGUCCAUUUGAGUCUGCUUGUAUAAAUACUGCAGUCUCGCAUCCUGAAGUCCAUUAGGCUCUAUGCUGUACACAAACCGAUUUCAUAAUCUAAAUACUCUCAACUUAAAACCUGGAAAAGAAUGUGAGAGCCUCCAUCAGCAGUGGUCUCACUGCUCAUUGGCUCCAGGAACGUGGACACAGGCUGAAGAAGGACUGCCAGGGCCAGGAUCCGGAGGACUCCAAGGAACAUUCAACGCUGUCGGUGAGUUUGGGAUUUGAAAAAACCACCGACCGUUGACUGUACCUUGGGGUCCUUACAGACAACACUACAUUCCCUGAAGCAAAGGAGCGGGCUGUGUCUUCACAUGUCACAAGAGAUCACCAGAACCAGUCCUGCCGCCUGUCCCCCAAAGGUGGUGCAGUGAAUUUUUUUAAAAAUUCUCCUCUAUUUCCCAUUGUUCCUUUUAUGCUGUGCUUUUGACAAACAAGUGUCUUGUUUCAGCAAGAUGAGGAACGUUCCAUGGUAAUACUUAAUGUACUUAAAUGUCUCCUAGAAAUAUGCCACUCUUUUUGAGAAACAGGAUGUAGCAAGGAAAGAUUUAUUAAAUAUAUGUAUUUUGGUUUAGAGUAAAAUCCAAUUAAGUUUUACAACCAUUUCUCCCACAUACCCUCAAAACUUUUAAUUAGGAGCAAUGGGAGGAUUUAAUAAGCAAAAAUAGCACAGAAUUUUUCAAUGUCUACACAGCUCUUAUCAGAUUCUGCCUCCAAUUACAGUUAAUGUGGUUAAGUCUUGACAGCCCCAUUAGAAUAGGAGCUGUUUGAAAGUAACUACUGCCCUCACUAUCUCCAUCCACACUUGUGCCUAUUUAAAUGUUGUUAAAUUCAAGUAAAAAGGCAGGUCUAGAGUCAGACAGAUCUGGGGUGUGCCUUGGCUCAACUCCUUAACUAGCUGUGUGACUCAGGGUGAGUGUCCAAGUCUCAGUUUUCUCAUAUAUAAAAUGGGGGAUAAUAAGAAUACCUACCUUCAUGGAGUUCUGAGAGUCAACGAGGUGAUAUAGAAGGUGCUUGGUACUAACUAUUCCAAAUGGUCAAUAUUAUUAUUAUUUAACCCAAAACAUAACCUGUGUUAAUUUACCUUGAAAGGCACUGGUAACUUCUUGGUUCAAAACAGAGAGGAAGAACCAGGGUCUGCAACACUUGUUUACGUCGACCAGGACGUAAGCACUGCCUGUGCGGUCACGGGGCUACCUGCUGGCUUCUUUCUCCAGGAGCCCCUUCUCUUCUCCGAACCAUAGUUUUUCCAUCUUUAAGAACCUCUCAGCACUAGUGUCCAUGUUAUCAAUAAUUACUGUAGGCCUGCAACUGUUAGUUACUAAGAGAGAUGCCAGACAUAGACCUCCAAGAACCAGUGUGGAAAAGAAGAGCCAGGAGCUGGGGAAGGCCAAGGCGACUCCACCAAAUGGAAACACUGAUGGCUGCACUCAACAUUCAUUGCUGUCGGUGGGUUUGAGUCUGAAUCAACUCACUGAUCAAUGAAUGCAAACUGCGGACCAAAAAUCCCAAGGGAAGCAAAGGCACCCGAGUGCAUGAGCUACUGUCACGGGUGGGAGCUGCUGCUGGCUCCAACGUACUGGCUAGAACUUCUCUUGCUCUCUUUGGUUCUAAUAGGAAAUAAGCUUUCUAAACGCCUGGUAUUUUUGUUUUUUCUUUUUCUUUUUUAAAGAUGUUCUAGAGUUAAAGAAAUGAUAUUUUAUAGAAAGAAUAAACUAUACACCUUGACAUCACACCAUACUGAAAAAUCCAUGCUUUCAAAAUUUUUUAAAUUAGAAAGAAUCACAUGCUCAUUACUUAAUAUGCAAAUAUAGAAAUACUUAAGUAAAAGUUGAAAAUCUUUUUCCUCAUCAUCUGCAAUCCACUUCCUCAAUAGAAAUCACCUAUAAUUAUGCUAAACAGUAAGUUUAAUAACUUGUUAUAAAUAAUAUAAGCUUAUUUAUUAUAUUAUCUAUUUAUUAUUUAAAUAAUAAAUACAAACUAAAUAUUAUUUUAUAUCAUUGGAGAACUUUUUUGUGUUUUGGGGGGAGAGUGGCUUAAACAAAAGCAAGCUCAUUUUAUACAUGUACAGCUUUUUCAUUCAGCUGUACAUUAUAGAUAGCCUUCCACGGCAAGCUCAUUACAUCAUAUUCAUUCUUUUAAAUGAUUAUAUAGUGCGUCUUAGUAUGAAUGUCUUGUUUAUUAUUGUUCAAAUGUACUUAACUAUUCUCUUUUGACUAAUUGUUAGGCCCAUUAAUUCUGGCCUUUCCAAAUCAUGUCCCUCAAAUAAGAAAAAAACCCAAGUGAGAUAGCAGAUGCACACAUUUUUCUUAACAAAAUUUAAAAUGUAUCAAUUCUCUGAAUCCUAUAACAUAAGCUGAGGUGAGCCACUAAAUCUUUUAUGAUAAUGACAGGAAAACAAGGACCUUGGUCAUGAAUAAUUUAGUACACACUUCGUCUGAGAUAGAGAGAAACUGAUUCUCAUAGGAAAAGUCAGAAGAGGCAGUAGAGUCUUGUCCUUAGCCUUCCAGAAUUUUUUCUCAGGGGUAGGAAGGAAGGAAAAGCACAGGUGUAGUGAGACAAGAACUAAAAAGAGAAAUCAAAGACAAACUUUGCACCAUGCUGUAGCAGCCAAAUCGGUAUCAAACUGUGUCUGAUGUUAGAGACUGGUGCAUUUGAGUCUAUGCGCUCUCAAAAACUAAAGCCUCCCCUAAAGGACUUAAUGAACGAACAACUGUUCCACCCAAGAAGUAUUUACUGAAAUCAAAAGGUUUUCUUUCUUUUAUACUGGACACAAAGAAGGUAAUUCAGAUAGAGCUGUUUUCAUGAUGCCAUGCAUUCUAGCCAUUUAUUUUCAACCACCAACUAUUUCCAAAUUUUCUGAAAACAUUAGAAAAUAAUGUCUGACAUAUUCUUUUGAAAAACUUAUACCUGAACAAGCAUGUCAUUUAUUUACACAAUCAACAGUCUUUAAAUACGCCAAUGAAAAAAUUUUUUCAUUUCAGCCACCAAAAUCCUAUGCGGUUUCAUGGCUAAAAAUAAGUGCUACAGGAAGACAGACAACUUAUGUGAGUUUAAGGGUGUGUUCUGCAGAUGAGACUGUAAGUAAAUAUCAGCAACAGAGAAUAUAUGUGGCAAGUAGAGUGGGCAAGAGCAGAACUGUUCAGAGGUCAUGUCAGGGGGUCCUUACGAACAGCACUGGAAAGGUAAAAGGACAAAUUACGGAAGGCCUUGUGAGCCAGGCAGAUAAUUUUUAGAAUUAGUACAACAUGGGGCCACUUUAAGUGCUGAGUUCCCAAAGGACAUAAUGAAAGCAGGACUUUGGGAAGAUUUAUCAAGCAGAUGAAGUGGGAGGAUGAAAGAGAGAUGUGAAAGAGAGAAGGAGAGAAACAGAAACGUGUUAUACAAAUGAGCUGAGGCAGCAGGAGUGGAGAGAAUGGAAAAGCUAUCUCAAAAAGGCAUUCAGCCUUAUUUUUGGUUGUUUUCUCUUCUUCGAAAUAGGAUUUUUAGUAUGUUGUCCCUGAAAAAUUCAUACAAAAGAGAGAAAACUAAAGUACAUUAGUGGGCUCCUCCCAUCAUUCUGUUCAGUGUAUAUACUAUCUGAUAUUUCACAGAUAUUUAAAACAUAUGUAUUUAUACUUAGAGAAAAUAUCACAAGUUAUACAUAAUGUUCUGUAACCUUUUUCCACUUAAAAUAUUGUGGCCAUCUUUCUUGCUCAAUAGACCAGAUCUACCUUCCAAGGAACUGGCUCGAACAGAAUAGAUAGCAAGGAGUCAAGAAUGGAGCCAAACUCUCUUUACUAGAUUAGGAGCCUGAAAUGCACUAAGAAACGAGCUAUUUCAAACUGGAAGAAACAGGAGUUCAUUUUUUUUUAAAUAGAGAAUGCACAUUUGUGAUUUAUAAGCAUGGAGCUGAGAGUGAAUGAAAAAGAUAAGUAACAAAUAGUUAUUGGACUCCUACCAUGCACCUCAACUGCGCCAUAUGCCAGGAAAUAUGGAGAAAACAAAAGUAUAGCCAUUUGUGGCACAAAUGGCAGAUCAAAUUCUAAUGAAAAAAAUAAUUCCAAGUGUGAAAAGUUCUGCAAAAGAGAAAAACAAAGUACUAUGGGAGCAAAUAUUGGAAGGGAUCAAUCCAGUCUUGGGUGUGAGAAAGGUCUGGGAAGUGACUUCAAGAAAAUGACAUUUUAAUAGACUUGAAUGGUAAAUGCAAUUACCUGGAUGAGACAAGAGGGGUGAGCAUUCCUAGCAGAGGAACUGGAUGGCAUGUGUACAGGCCAAAGGGGCAUAGCGCUUUCACAAAAUUGAAGCUGUCGCUAAAGCACAUAGAAGAUAGAGAAGAGGUCAUGAGACAAAGCCAAAGAGAGAGGCAGAAAAUUUUUAAAAAUUACUGAUAGUCUUUGAAAAAAAGAACUUUUUGGAAUGAUAAUCGUGGAUGAAAAUAGAUUUCUGGAAAGGUAGUGGUGAAGCACUUGGGCCAACUAUGUGAAUCUGGACAAGUCACUUACUCUUUAGAUCUAUCAUCUGUUAAUAGGAGAUAUGAUAACAGUAUUUGCUAUUUGCUUCACAGGGCUACUUAAAGAGUAAGAAUACAUGUAAAAUAUUUCACGCAGAGCCUGGUACUAAAUAAGAUGCUAAAAUCUGUGUAUGUGUGUGCGUGCGCACACUGGCUGAUAGGAAGUAAAAAGCAGAUUAGAACUUCAAAUAGACUGGAAGCAAAAAUGUUAAUAGUUAGAAUCUCUAAGUUGUAGAAUUAAAGGUGAUUUUUAUGUUUAUUAUUUAUAACUCAUCUAUGUCUUCCAAGUCUUUAGCAAUAACCAUGAACUAUUUCAACAAUUAAGAAAAAAAUUUUAAUAUCUUUUUUUUAAAAGUAAAGAUUUCUUUUAGAUACAAGAUUUACCUAUGUUUGGCUGAAAAGCAGAUGGAAGAAUCCACAUUGGAAAAGGAAGAAAUAAUGAACUAUAUUUGUCAAGAAAGAGGACCUGCAGGAAGCAGAGCUGCAGGGACAGUAGAAAGCAGUGGGCUCCGGGUCCGGGCGGAAGUGGUCAUGUUGGAGGGAAGACACAUCAGCCUCAGAGAAUGAAAAUGACGGAAAGUUCAGCCUACUCCUGUGCUCUCAGGUCAACAGGAUCCAACUGGAUCUUUAAUCCUGUAUCUUGACAAGGGGCAUGGCAUGGAGUAGACACUCAAUAAAGGUUUGUCAAGUGAAUUUCCUUAUGAUUUCUGGCACAAUUAUGUUUAUAACUUCGGAAGUGGUCUGCUCCUUGAGCCAAGUACACAGGACCUUCAAGCCAUCUGUGCCAUGAAUAUAGUUCCACCCAAGGUAUAAUUUUAAUAGCUACCAAACAUUGGGACAAAUCUACCUUGAUUAAUCUUGCUAUAGAACCCCUCAACUUACAGUGUAGCCCAACUUCCCUUCCUAUCUUUUCUACUAACUAAAUCUACUGAAAACACAUGUAAUCAAUCAAAAUCACAUGCCCCUUUCUCUCCUCUUUCCAGUAAACAGCUGAGGCAAAACAGUAGAGUAUAGAAGAAAUGGUUUGAUAUAUGGAAUCAGAAAACCUGGAUCUAAGUCCAGCUCUGCGAUGGUUGUGUGCUCUUGGACAAAUGAGUCACCCUAUAAGUCUUACUUCUUUGUGAAAGGGGGACCAAAAAUCUCUCUCCUAUCUCAGGGGAUUGUUGUGAGGUCCCCUCAGCAAGGAAACAGUGAAAAGUGUGCAGCAAACUGCACGCAGCAGUACAACCCAAGGCAUCCUGGUCUCUGACGGGACCACUCCAUGGGUUCUCCACUUUCAGUAGACAAGAUUCACUCAUUCCCCAAACUCUCACCUACUUAACAACCAGCUGCACAUGUUUGCAAGAUGUCUAGCUGGAGUUCGUCUAUAACUUGAGGCCAAAAGAAGACAUUUUUCUAUAUCUAAGUGUCAUCAGCUUAGAUAGUCCACCAGAGCCACACUCCAAACAGUUGAGUCAGUCUUCCCAAACAAGAGAAAGUUGUUUCUCCUUUGGAAAAAGUUCUUUCCAAUAGAUUCUUUAGUGGGGCAGGGGUCAGGGUAGAGCUUUGAGAACAAGGAGGGCAUAGGCUUCCAAGGCAAAAUUUAAUGAGAGACAUCACAAAUCAUCAAUAGGGCAUCACUUGACUGAUGAACUUACACCAUUUUACCCAAAAGUCUGUCUUUAUCUCCUUCCAAAUCUUAGGUUUUUUACAGCUUCAUUUAGGUGUAAUUUAUAUACCAUAAAAUUAAUCCACUGUAAGUGGACAACUCAAUGACUUUUAUUCAUAUGAGUUGUGCAGCUAUCGCCAUAAUCAAUUCCACAACAUUUUCAUCACCCCAAACACUCUCCUUGAGCCUGUUUCCAAUCAGUCUCUACUCCCACCCUUACACCCAGAUAACUGUUGAUCUGCUGUCUCUGUAAAUUUGCCUUUUCUGAACAUUUCAUAUAAAUAGAAUCAUACAAUAUAUGGUCUUUUUUAAUUUGGUAUCUUUCACUUAGUAUGUUUUUGAAGUUCAUUCAUGUUGUAGCAUGUAUCAGUAGUUCAUUCCUUUUUAUUGGUGAGUAGCAUUCCAUUAUACAAAUAUUUCACAUUUUGUUUAUCCAUUCACCAGUUGGUGGACAUGUGGAUUGUUCCAAGGUUUAGGUUAUUACAAAUGCUGCUAUGAACAUUCACAUACAAGUCUUUGUGUAGACAUAGGUUUUUUAUUUCUCUUGGGAUAGAUAACUAGGAGUGGAAUUGCUCCAUAUAUGGUAAAUUUAUGUUAACUUUUUAUUAAAUUGCCAAACUGAUUUCCAAAGUGAUAGUACUGUUUUACAUUCUCAUAGCAAUUAACGAGGUUUCCAGUUUCUAUACAGCCUCACCAACACUUACUAGAACAUUUUUAUAGUCUUUUUGACAACAGUCAUUCCAAACGGUGUGCAGUGAAAAUUCACUGUGAUUUUAGUUUGCAUUUCCCUAAUGACUAACAAUGCUCAGCACCUUUUCAUGUGAUGAAAUGUCUGUUCAAGUCUUCAUCCUGUUUCUAAUUUCAUUUUUAUUAACCAUUUUUAAGUGUACAAUUCAGUGACAUUAAAUCACAAUGUUGUACCACCAUCACCACUAUUCAUUUCCAGAACUUUUUCAUAAUUCUAAACAAAACUCUGUACCCAUUAAACAGUAACUAUACAUUCCCCCAAUUCACCUAGCAACCUCUAGUCCACUGUCUCUAUAAAUUUGCCUAUUCUAGGUAUCUUGGAAGUGAAAUCGUACAAUACUUUUUGUCCACUUUAAAAACUGGGUUGCCUCUUGAGUCGUAUGAGUUCUUCAUAUAUUUUGUAUACUCCUUUAUUAGGUAUCAGAUAUGCAAAUAUUUUCUCUUGAUCUGUAGCUUGUCUCUUUAUUUUCUUAGUUAUAUCUUUUGAAGUACAAAAAUUUUACAUUUUAAUGAAGCCAAUUAAUCAAAAUUUUCUUUUAUGGCUUGUGCCACUGGUAUCAUGUCUAGGAAGUUGCAGCCUAACCUAAAGCCACGAAGAUAUUUCUGGGGACAUUUUGUGGUUUUAGAUUUAGGUAUAUGACCAACUUUGAGCUAAUUUUUGUCACUAGUGUAAAUUAAGGGUCUGAGUCCUUUUUUAUCCAUGCAGAUAUCUAAUUUUUUAUUGGAAAUAAAAACUAUCUUUUUCCCCACUGAA